AGAGUUUGAUCAUGGCUCAGAGUGAACGCUGGCGGCAGGCCUAACACAUGCAAGUCGAACGGCAGCACAGGGGAGCUUGCUCCCUGGGUGGCGAGUGGCGGACGGGUGAGGAAUACAUGGGAAUCUGCCCAAUCGUGGGGGAUAACGUAGGGAAACUUACGCUAAUACCGCAUACGACCUUAGGGUGAAAGCGGCGGACCGCAAGGCGUCGCGCGAUUGGAUGAGCCCAUGUCGGAUUAGCUAGUUGGCGGGGUAAAGGCCCACCAAGGCGACGAUCCGUAGCUGGUCUGAGAGGAUGAUCAGCCACACUGGAACUGAGACACGGUCCAGACUCCUACGGGAGGCAGCAGUGGGGAAUAUUGGACAAUGGACGAAAGUCUGACGCAGCGACGCCGCGUGGGCGACGAAGCUCUUUGGAGUGUAAAGCCCUGUCAGGUGGGACGAAUCCGGAGGGAGUGAACAACUCGCCUUCGCUGACGGUACCACCAGAGGAAGCCCCGGCUAACUCCGUGCCAGCCGCCGCGGUAAUAC
rnacentral:rRNA from 1 species